rnacentral:rRNA from 1 species
CGUGUAGGCGGCUAAUUAAGUCAGGCGUGAAAUCUAUGGGCUUAACCCAUAAAUUGCGUUUGAAACUGGUUGGCUUGAGGAUCGGAGAGGGCAGUGGAAUUCCCAGUGUAGCGGUGAAAUGCGUAGAUAUUGGGAGGAACACCAGUGGCGAAGGCGACUGCCUGGACGACACCUGACGCUGAGGCGCGAAAGCUAGGGGAGCAAACGGGAUUAGAUACCCCGGUAGUCCUAGCCGUAAACGAUGGGUACUAGGUGUGGGAGGUAUCGACCCCUUCCGUGCCGCAGUUAACACAAUAAGUACCCCGCCUGGGGAGUACGGCCGCAAGGUUGAA